rnacentral:rRNA from 1 species
CGUCUGGUGGAACAUUGAGCCUUGAUGUGUAGGAUAGGUGGGAGGCUUUGAAGCGUGGACGCCAGUCUGCGUGGAGCCAACCUUGAAAUACCACCCUUUAAUGUUUGAUGUUCUAACGUUGGCCCCUUACCGGGGUUGCGGACAGUGUCUGGUGGGUAGUUUGACUGGGGCGGUCUCCUCCCAAAGCGUAACGGAGGAGCACGAAG